UAGAAAAACAAAUUUCCCUUCUAUUGUUGGUC
rnacentral:piRNA from 1 species